GUUAAAUACAUGCAGUCGAGCGAGCGGAACCAGCAGAAUCACUUCGGUGAGGACGCUGGGAAAGUGAGCGGCGGAUGGGUGAGUAACACGUGGGGAACCUGCCCUUAAGUCUGGGAUACCACUUGGAAACAGGUGCUAAUACCGGAUAAGAAAGCAGUUCGCAUGAACAGCUUUUAAAAGGCGGCGCAAGCUGUCGCUAAAGGAUGGACCCGCGGUGCAUUAGCUAGUUGGUAAGGUAACGGCCUACCAAGGCAGUGAUGCAUAGCCGAGUUGAGAGACUGAUCGGCCACAUUGGGACUGAGACACGGCCCAAACUCCUACGGGAGGCAGCAGUAGGGAAUCUUCCACAAUGGACGCAAGUCUGAUGGAGCAACGCCGCGUGAGUGAAGAAGGUUUUCGGACCGUAAAGCUCUGUUGUUGGUGAAGAAGGAUAGAGGUAGUAACUGGCCUUUAUUUGACGGUAAUCAACCAGAAAGUCACGGCUAACUACGUGCCAGCAGCCGCGGUAAUACGUAGGUGGCAAGCGUUGUCCGGAUUUAUUGGGCGUAAAGCGAGCGCAGGCGGAAGAAUAAGUCUGAUGUGAAAGCCCUCGGCUUAACCGAGGAAUUGCAUCGGAGACUGUUUUUCUUGAGUGCAGAAGAGGAGAGUAGAACUCCAUGUGUAGCGGUGGAAUGCGUAGAUAUAUGGAAGAAUACCAGUGGCGAAGGCGGCUCUCUGGUCUGCAACUGACACUGAGGCUCGAAAGCAUGUGUAGCGAACAGGAUUAGAUACCCUGGUAGUCCAUGCCGUAAACGAUGAGUGCUAAGUGUUGGGAGGCUUCCGCCUCUCAGUGCUGCAGCUAACGCAUUAAGCACUCCGCCUGGGGAGUACGACCGCAAGGUUGAAACUCAAAGGAAUUGACGGGGGCCCGCACAAGCGGUGGAGCAUGUGGUUUAAUUCGAAGCAACGCGAAGAACCUUACCAGGUCUUGACAUCUAGUGCCAUUUGUAGAGAUACAAAGUUCCCUUCGGGGACGCUAAGACAGGUGGUGCAUGGCUGUCGUCAGCUCGUGUCGUGAGAUGUUGGGUUAAGUCCCGCAACGAGCGCAACCCUUGUUAUUAGUUGCCAGCAUUAAGUUGGGCACUCUAAUGAGACUGCCGGUGACAAACCGGAGGAAGGUGGGGAUGACGUCAAGUCAUCAUGCCCCUUAUGACCUG
rnacentral:rRNA from 1 species